GACGAACGCUGGCGGCGUGCUUAACACAUGCAAGUGGAGCGACGAACCAGGGCUUGCCCUGGAGCAAAGCCGCGAACGGGUGAGUAACACGUGGGUAACCUGCCCCAAUGACCGGGACAACCCGAGGAAACUCGGGCUAAUACCGGAUGAGCUCCUACCACAUAAGUGGUUUGAGGAAAGGAAGCUUCGGCCUCCGCAUCGGGAUGGGCCCGCGGCCCAUUAGCUUGUUGGUGAGGUAACGGCUAACCAAGGCUUCGAUGGAUAGCUGGUCUGAGAGGACGAUAAGCCACACUGGGACGGGGACACCGCACAGACUCCUACGAGAGGCAGCAGUGGGGAAUCUUGCGCAAUGCGCGAAAGCGUAACGCAGCAACGCCGCGUGCGGGAAGACGGCCCUCGGGUUGUAAACCGCUUUCAGUUGGGACGAAGCUUCGCCAGUGAAUAGCCGGAUGGAGUGACGGUACCUUCACAAGAAGCCCCGGCUAACUACGUGCCAGCCGCCGCGGUAAGAC
rnacentral:rRNA from 1 species